rnacentral:sRNA from 1 species
GGAUCACUCCUCACGGAGUCAAGGCCAUACGGACAGCCGGGUCCACUGCCGA